CCUACGGGUGGCAGCAGUGAGGAAUAUUGGUCAAUGGCCGGAAGGCUGAACCAGCCAAGCCGCGUGAAGGACGAAGGUGCCAAGCAUUGUAAACUUCUUUUGUCAAGGGACAAAAUCAGGCUCGAGAGCCUGACCGAGGGUACUUGAAGAAAAAGCAUCGGCUAACUCCGUGCCAGCAGCCGCGGUAAUACGGAGGAUGCGAGCGUUAUCCGGAUUUAUUGGGUUUAAAGGGUGCGUAGGCGGGCUGUUAAGUCAGCGGUAAAGGCCCGGGGCUCAACCCCGGCGAGCCGUUGAAACUGGCUGUCGUGAGAAGACGAGAGGUAGGCGGAAUGCGCAGUGUAGCGGUGAAAUGCUUAGAUAGUGCGCAGAACUCCGAUUGCGAAGGCAGCAUACCGGCGGCGAUCUGACGCUGAGGCACGAAAGCGUGGGUAUCGAACAGGAUUAGAUACCCUUGUAGUC
rnacentral:rRNA from 1 species